GGAGGCGGAGGAGGAGGUGGAGGUGGUGGAGCUGGGCGUGGCCUUCUUGGCCCGGGCGGCGGCGGUGGGCGGGGCGGCCAGCGCGCUGCGCUUGCCCCUCUUGCCCGGCUCCUUGCCGCGGCCGGCCAGCGAGAGGGGCUCCGAGCAGGGCUUCAGGAACGGAGACCGGCUCUCGUUGUCCCGGCGGAACACCACCGCGAUGGAGCCGCCCACCACGGGGCCCCCCCCGCCCCCCGUGGACCCCAGGUCCAUGCCCAGCUUCCCGGAGCUGCUGGGGGCCCCCGUGGUGCUGCUGACCCCCUCCCUCACCAUCACCGACACCUUGGACUGCAGCUUGCCCUUGCGGCCCCCCCCCCCGCCCUCCUUCUUCAGCGCCUUGCCCCCCGAGCGGGCCGAGUCCUUGCGGCCCGCCUUGUCCCGCUCCUUGUCCUUGCCCGCCUUGCGGCCCCGCUUGGGGGCCGGGGGGGCGGGGGGGUCGGCGGGGCCCGGGGGCGGGGAGGGGCCUUUGCUCUUGGUGCGCGCCGCAGAAGAGGAGGAGGCCGACGACUCGGCCGGGAUGUCCCGCGACUUGGCGUCGUGGGACUUCUUCUUGGGGUGGUGGCGCCCGGCCUUGGGGGCGGCGGCGGCGGUCUUGGCCUUGGGGGAGCGCAGCGGCGGCUCGGGGGGCAGGGCGGCGGGGGGCGUGUCCUCCAGAGAGGGGUAGUCCGAGUCCAGCGCCUCGCCGUCCAGCGACCGCAGGUCGAUCUCCAGCUUGUCCGAGUAGUGAUCCGAGUCGUAGCUGUGGUAGCGCGGCGGCGAGCGCGAGCGGCUGCGGUAGGCUCCGCCCCCCUCCGCCGCCUCCUCCGCCUGCCGCCGCUUCCUCUUCUUCUUCCUCUUCAGGGAGCGGUCCGAGCCGCGGGCGGGGGCGGGGCUGGGGGGCGAGGCGGGCUCGGGCUCGGGCGGCGAGCCCGGGACGGUGGUGGUGACCGUGAUGGUGCGCUUGAUGGCGAAGAGGUCCGAGCCGUUGAGGUCCUGGAUGGACGGCGGCACCACCGGGCGCCCGUCGCGCCGCCGCCGCCGCUCCCACGGCCGCCCGUCGCGCUCCACCUCCUCCUCCUCCACCACCUCCUCCACCCGCCGGCGCCCUUCACGCCCGUGUUUGGACUUCUUGGUGCCGGAGCGCUCUCUGCUGCUGGAGCGCUCCUUGCCGUCCCGUUCCCGGUCCAGGUCCCGGUCCCGCUCCCGCUUGCCGUGGCUGGAGUCCCGGUCCUUCCGGUCUUUGGCGCGGCGGCCGCGGUCCCCGCUCCGCCCUCGGUCUCGGUCCCUCUCCUUGUCUCGGUCUCGUUCCCGCUCCCUCUCCCGCUCCCUGUCCCUGUCCCGGUCGUGGUCCCUGUCCCGGUCGUGGUCCCUGUCCCGGUCGUGGUCCCUCUCCCUCUCCCGGUCCCUCUCCCUCGGUCGCUCCUCCGAGGGGCUGGAGAACGAGCGCCGGCUGUGGGCACCGCGCCCCGACGAGUUGUGCGAGCGCGACGUCUCGGGGCUGCUGUGCCUCCUCUUCUUCCUCUUGCGGCUGUUGCUGCUGCUGCUCCUCGGUCGGCCCCCGGCCUCCUCGGGGCCCCGCCCCCUCCCGUCCGCAGCCCUGCGGCCCCGCUCCCGGCUCUUGUCCCGACUCCCCUCCCCCUUGGCCUUCUCCUUGGCCUUCUCCUUCGUCGCCGCCGCCGCCACGCUCUUCUUCCUCUUCUCCUCCUUGUCGCCCCCGCCCUUGCCCUCCUUGCGUCUCCGUCGGUCGCGGUCCUUGGAGCUCUUGGACGACUUGCGGCUCUUGCUGCCCCGCGGGGCGGCGGCGGCGGGCAGGGCGAUGAGCAGGGGGGUCGGCGACCCCGGGGGGGAGGAGGGGGGCAGCGAGGGGGGCGGCGGGGGCGGCGCCGGCUGGGGCUGAGGCGACAGGGAGGAGGAGGCGGCGGGGGCGGGCCCGUUGCGGAAGCGCUCCUUGCGCCGGCUCACCAGCUUCCGCCGCAGGUCGCCGGCGCCCACCACCACGGCGUCGUCCUGCAGCGAGCCGUCCGCCGGCCAGGCGCUCUCCGUGCGCACCGACACGAAGCCGUCGCUGUCCAGCAGCCGCAGGACGCGCUCCGGCUUGGUGCCCACGGAGAACGGCCCGUCCGAGGGCAGCGGCGGCAUCAUGGCGGCCCGCUGGGCACCGCCGCCCGCCUCGUUGACCGAGGGGACGAUCUCCCCCUCCUCGAUCUCCGAGUGGUCCGAGAGGUCGCAGCCGCGCUCCCGCUGGCUCGCGUUGGGGGCCCGGUCCAGCCGCCGCCGGAGCGAGAGCUUGAUGAGGGGCCGGGGGAGGAGGAGGGCGGUGGAGUCCGGGGGCGGCUCCUUCUUCAGCUUCUUUCCCGCUCCACCGCCGCCCCUCUUCCCCCCCCGCUCCUCCGCGCCGGGCCCCUCCUCGCCGUCCGACGCCGGCGAGCCCGUGGGGUCAAAGGGGUCGUAUUUGUCCCCUUCGUCGUCGUCGUCGUCUUCGUCGUCGUCGUCCUCCUCCAUGGCCCUCCCGUCCAGCUCCCCGUCCGUCGGGUGGAAGGGGUCGUAUAUCUCCCUGCAGCCCCGCUCCAGGGGCCGGUCGGCGGCCGCGCGGCGCCCGGGGCCGGGGCGGUCCGAGGAGGAGAAGGCGGAGCUGGAGAGGGACGGCACCGAGGCCGAGGUGGACGACACCGUGUCCCCGGACAGCCUGGCCCUGCCGCCGCUGCCGCCGUCCGGGGGGUCCUUCACGUCGUCGGGACAGCCCGUCGCCGUGGCGCUGGGACAGGAGGACACCGACGAGGGGGAGGAGGGCGAGGAGGAGGGGGAGGAGGGGCUGGAGGUGGGGGAGUAGGGAGGGGGGCUCUUUGCCACGUCCAUGUGCCCAUUUGGAGAAGGGGCCGAGGGCCUCUUCUUGAAGCCCGCGGCUGGUGA
ensembl:lncRNA